rnacentral:rRNA from 1 species
UACAGAGGGUGCGAGCGUUAAUCGGAGUUACUGGGCGUAAAGGGCGCGUAGGCGGUGAUAUAAGUUGGAUGUGAAAUCCCCGGGCUUAACCUGGGCAUGGCAUCGAAGACUGUAUGACUGGAGUAUUGUAGAGGGUAGUGGAAUUUCCGGUGUAGCGGUGAAAUGCGUAGAGAUCGGAAGGAACAUCAGUGGCGAAGGCGGCUACCUGGACAAAUACUGACGCUGAGGCGCGAAAGCGUGGGGAGCAAACAGG